UGGAAAGUUUCCUUAAGCAGCCUUACUCUGAUUUGUAAGGUUAAUAGUUUGAAUCAUCGUAUUAUUAUCGAUAAUCAAUUUGGAAGGGAAGUAGCCGACUGCAUUCGAAAUUAUUGUCACCCUUAUCAUCAAAAUGCAAGUAUAAUUCAGCGUUUAACAACCAAUGAAACUAUAUAUUCAGUGUACGGACAAAUUGAUAACAAAAUAAAUGGAAACUGGACAUGUCGACAUGGAACGAAUUUAGAUAUCGCUAAAGUUGAAGUGACAGUCUUAAAAGGU
rnacentral:lncRNA from 1 species